UCUUCAGAGACUGAGCACUUGUACACCGAAUUCGUUUUAUGUUACAAUGGUUUUGGCUACCAGGCAUCCUCAUUUUAAAUUAGACCGAUGUGAAAGACAGAUGGAAGCUUGACGCCUAGACGCUAAUUCAAUCGUAAUUCAAAUCACAUGAUUUUAAUUCACAAAAAUGGUUGCACAAACGCCAAGCGUAGAGUGCUCUGAAACACAUGCUACGCCUACGAAAUAUACUGAACAGUAUUUGUGAAUUAAAGAGAACGCAUUACUGUUGGAUUAAGCGUGGUUGACAUCACUGCUUCUUUAAUCAUGAUCUGUAACGAGCAGCACUGAAGUCAAACAUUGCAACCCAUCUAGCCACAGCAUCACAGAAAGAAAUAGAGUUGAAUAACAACUGUCGAACAGAAGAACAAGAGAAGCAAAGUGAAUUAGAACAACCAAGUGAGGCUGAAACUCCUGCGGCAGACAGCAUACGAGGUGAAAGCUCAGUGAACGUGAAUCACACAGACUGCGAAGAGUGUGACGUCACACCAGCAGGGGGCAGUGUUGUGAAGACAGAAGAGCAGUCUGAGGCAGCGAGCGCUGAGGAGCCACAGGCUGGGUGUUCUGAAGAGAAGGAUGUGCAACAACACGAGGAGGAGAAAGAUUUAGUGAUAUAAACCUGGAAGACGGCAGUGGUAUCCCAACUGAGCCAUUUUUGGAAUCUCGUUAUGCGAUCAUCCCUGUAUUAGAUAAGCUUGGACCCACCGUGUUUGCUCCUGUUAAAAUCGAUUUUGUAGGUAAUAUUAAGAGUUUGUAGUUGAGCAGUACUCCGAUGCCAUGGCCAUUCAUUACCAGCUGGGUGGAUGAAUACAGCAACAGAUGGCAAGGGCACUUAAUGAAAAGAAAAUCAAUCAGAAAUACAUUGGCGAUCCAGAGAAUUUCACAACUCUGCAAAAGAUUGUUCUGUACGAAGUGGAGACAAACAUGGCUCAGGUUAGGAACUCAGCCACAGAAGCACUUCUUUAGUUGAAAAGGGGCUUAAAGUUCUUGAAAGAGUUUUUAGCAGAGGUGAAUAAAGGAGAAAAAAUAUCCAUGCAGCACUAAGUAA